rnacentral:rRNA from 1 species
UACGGAGGGAGCUAGCGUUGUUCGGAAAUACUGGGCGUAAAGCGCACGUAGGCGGCGCAGCAAGUCAGGGGUGAAAUCUUUCGGCCCAACCGGAAAACAGCCGCCGAUACUGGGGACCUCGAGGGAGGUAGGGGUCGAGGGAACUUCCGGUGGAGCGGUGAAAUGCGUAGAUAUCGGAAGGAACGCCGGUGGCGAAAGCGCUCGACUGGACCUCUUCUGACGCUGAGGCGCGAAAGCCAGGGGAGCAAACGGG